AUACGGAGGAUGCGAGCGUUAUCCGGAUUUAUUGGGUUUAAAGGGAGCGUAGGUGGAUUGUUAAGUCAGUUGUGAAAGUUUGCGGCUCAACCGUAAAAUUGCAGUUGAAACUGGCAGUCUUGAGUACAGUAGAGGUGGGCGGAAUUCGUGGUGUAGCGGUGAAAUGCUUAGAUAUCACGAAGAACUCCGAUUGCGAAGGCAGCUCACUAGACUGUUACUGACACUGAUGCUCGAAAGUGUGGGUAUCAAACAGGAUUAGAUACCCUGGUAGUCCACACAGUAAACGAUGAAUACUCGCUGUUUGCGAUAUACAGUAAGCGGCCAAGCGAAAGCAUUAAGUAUUCCACCUGGGGAGUACGCCGGCAACGGUGAAACUCAAAGGAAUUGACGGGG
rnacentral:rRNA from 1 species